rnacentral:rRNA from 1 species
GACGAACGCUGGCGGCGUGCUUAACACAUGCAAGUCGAACGGAAAGGCCCUGCUUUUGUGGGGUGCUCGAGUGGCGAACGGGUGAGUAACACGUGAGUAACCUGCCCUUGACUUUGGGAUAACUUCAGGAAACUGGGGCUAAUACCGGAUAGGAGCUCCUGCUGCAUGGUGGGGGUUGGAAAGUUUCGGCGGUUGGGGAUGGACUCGCGGCUUAUCAGCUUGUUGGUGGGGUAGUGGCUUACCAAGGCUUUGACGGGUAGCCGGCCUGAGAGGGUGACCGGCCACAUUGGGACUGAGAUACGGCCCAGACUCCUACGGGAGGCAGCAGUGGGGAAUAGUACACAAUGGGCGGAAGCCUGAUGCAGCAACGCCGCGUGCGGGAUGACGGCCUUCGGGUUGUAAACCGCUUUCGCCUGUGACGAAGCGUGAGUGACGGUAAUGGGUAAAGAAGCACCGGCUAACUACGUG